rnacentral:antisense_RNA from 1 species
GAUUCUUCCCAAUUCUACCGCCACCAUUCUGGUUCAAGCUACCUGUAUGAGGAACAGAAAGAAAAAUGAAGAAAAGUAAACAGAGUCCAAGGGACCUGUGGGACAUCAUCAAGUGAACUAACAUAUGCAUUACAGGAGUCUCAAGAGGGGAAGUGAAAUAGGAUCAGAAAGAAUGUUUGAAGAAAUAAUGGUUGAAAAACUCCGAAAUUUGAUGAAAGAGGUGAAUCUACAUAUCCAAGAAGCUCAAUGAACUCUAAAGAGACCCACACUGAGACAUGUUAUAGUCCAACUGUCAAAAGCCAAAGACAAUGAAAACAACAAGAGAGAAACAACUCAUCACAUACAAGAGAGCCUUAAUAAAAUUACUAGCUGAUUUCUUAUAAAAAACCAUGGAGACCAGAAAAUAAGAAUGUCGAUCAAGAAUUCUAUAUCUGACAAAACUAUUCCUAAAGAAAUUCUCAGAUAAACAAAAGCUACAGAAUUUACUAGUAGACCUGCCCUACAAGAAAUGCUAAAGAGAAUCUCUCAGAUUGAAAUUAAAGGACAUCAGACAGUAACUUGAAGCCAUAUGAAAAAAUAAAGAGCAAUUGUGAAAAAU